GCAAGUUGAACGGUAACAGAGGUGCUUGCACCUGCUGACGAGUAGCGAAAGGGUGAGUAGCCCGUGAGUAACCUGCCUUAAAGUCGGGGAUACCCCUUGGAAACGAGGACUAAUACCGGAUGUGGUUUUUAGAUCGCAUGAUCUUUUAACUAAAAUCUUUUUGCUUUAAGAUGGACUCGCGUAUCAUCAGCUAGUUGGUAAGGUAACGGCUUACCAAGGCAACGACGAUUAGGUGGUCUGAGAGGACGAUC
rnacentral:rRNA from 1 species